UACAGAGGUCUCAAGCGUUGUUCGGAUUCAUUGGCGUAAAGGGUGCGUAGGUGGCAUGGUAAGUCGGAUGUGAAUCCCGGGCUCAACCCCGGAACUGCAUUCGAUACUGCUGCGCUAGAGUACUGGAGAGGAGAUUGGAAUUUACGGUGUAGCAGUGAAAUGCGUAGAUAUCGUAAGGAAGACCAGUGGCGAAGGCGGAUCUCUGGACAGUUACUGACACUGAGGCACGAAGGCCAGGGAGCAAACGGG
rnacentral:rRNA from 1 species